rnacentral:rRNA from 1 species
UACGGAGGGUGCAAGCGUUGUUCGGAAUUAUUGGGCGUAAAGAGCUCGUAGGCGGUUUGUCGCGUCUGCUGUGAAAACUCGGGGCUUAACCCCGGGCCUGCAGUGGGUACGGGCAGACUAGAGUGCGGUAGGGGAGACUGGAAUUCCUGGUGUAGCGGUGAAAUGCGCAGAUAUCAGGAGGAACACCGGUGGCGAAGGCGGGUCUCUGGGCCGUAACUGACGCUGAGGAGCGAAAGCAUGGGGAGCGAACAGG